rnacentral:rRNA from 1 species
CCUACGGGUGACUGCAGUGGGGAAUAUUGGACAAUGGGGGGAACCCUGAUCCAGCGACGCCGCGUGAGUGAAGAAGUAUUUCGGUAUGUAAAGUUCUAUCAGUAGAGAAGAAAAUGACGGUACCUGACUAAGAAGCCCCGGCUAACUACGUGCCAGCAGCCGCGGUAAUACGUAGGGGGCAAGCGUUAUCCGGAUUUACUGGGUGUAAAGGGAGCGUAGACGGUGCAGCAAGUCUGAUGUGAAAGGCCGGGGCCCAACCCCGGGACUGCAUUGGAAACUGUUGAACUGGAGUACAGGAGAGGUGAGCGGAAUUCCUAGUGUAGCGGUGAAAUGCGUAGAUAUUAGGAGGAACACCAGUGGCGAAGGCGGCUUACUGGACUGUAACUGACGUUGAUGCUCGAAAGUGUGGGUAUCAAACAGGAUUAGAUACCCGGGUAGUC